AUGAACGCUGGCGGCGUGCCUAAUACAUGCAAGUCGCGCGAACGGACGAGAAGCUUGCUUCUCUGAUGUUAGCGGCGGACGGGUGAGUAACACGUGGAUAACCUACCUAUAAGACUGGGAUAACUUCGGGAAACCGGGGCUAAUACCGGAUAAUAUUUUGAACCGCAUGGUUCAAAAGUGAAAGACGGUCUUGCUGUCACUUAUAGAUGGAUCCGCGCUGCAUUAGCUAGUUGGUAAGGUAACGGCUUACCAAGGCAACGAUGCAUAGCCGACCUGAGAGGGUGAUCGGCCACACUGGAACUGAGACACGGUCCAGACUCCUACGGGAGGCAGCAGUAGGGAAUCUUCCGCAAUGGGCGAAAGCCUGACGGAGCAACGCCGCGUGAGUGAUGAAGGUCUUCGGAUCGUAAAACUCUGUUAUUAGGGAAGAACAUAUGUGUAAGUAACUGUGCACAUCUUGACGGUACCUAAUCAGAAAGCCACGGCUAACUACGUG
rnacentral:rRNA from 1 species